rnacentral:lncRNA from 1 species
AGACAUUUUACCUAAUUUGGCUAUUUAUUUAACACAAGCACUCUUCAGUUUGUCUUCAUGGGACUACAUUUUAAUGAUUCACUGUCCUAGUAAAGUGUCAUGUUAAUUUUAUUUUCAGUGGAUCCAGGAGCUGGUCUGCUGUUUCAACAAGGUAGCCAUUUCUAAGCAAUAAAAAACCCCAAAAACCCAGAAGACAAAAAUACCCCUCCACAAACAUAGAGAAAUACUGUGGUAUUAUGGAGCAUAAGGACAUCAUGACAUUUGGACUAACAUCCUACAGAAUUGUAGAGAAGGUCAAAUAUAAAACUCAAGCAAGGGAUCCCUGGGUGGCGCAGCGGUUUGGCGCAUGCCUUUGGCCCAGGGUGCAACCCAGGAGACCCGGGAUCGAAUCCCCUGUCGGGCUCCCGGUGCAUGGAGUCUGCUUCUCCCUCUGCCUAUGUCUCUGACUCUCUCUCUCUCUGUGUGACUAUCAUAAAUAAAUAAAAAUUAAGAAAAAAAUUAAAAAAAAAU